rnacentral:rRNA from 1 species
AGUCGAGGGGUAUGUUUCUUCGGAAGCAGAGACCGGCGCACGGGUGCGUAACGCGUAUGCAAUCUACCUUUUACAGAGGGAUAGCCCAGAGAAAUUUGGAUUAAUACCUCAUAGUAUUAUAGCAUGGCAUCAUUUUAUUAUUAAAGUCACAACGGUAAAAGAUGAGCAUGCGUCCCAUUAGCUAGUUGGUAAGGUAACGGCUUACCAAGGCUACGAUGGGUAGGGGUCCUGAGAGGGAGAUCCCCCACACUGGUACUGAGACACGGACCAGACUCCUACGGGAGGCAGCAGUGAGGAAUAUUGGACAAUGGGCGCAAGCCUGAUCCAGCCAUGCCGCGUGCAGGAUGACGGUCCUAUGGAUUGUAAACUGCUUUUGUACAGGAAGAAACACUGGUUCGUGAACCAGCUUGACGGUACUGUAAGAAUAAGGAUCGGCUAACUCCGUGCCAGCAGCCGCGGUAAUACGGAGGAUCCAAGCGUUAUCCGGAAUCAUUGGGUUUAAAGGGUCCGUAGGCGGUUUAAUAAGUCAGUGGUGAAGCCCAUCGCUCAAC